rnacentral:rRNA from 1 species
GUGUGUGAAGAAGGCCUUAUGGUUGUAAAGCACUUAAAGCGACGAGGAUGUAAUGAAGAUAAUACCUACCAGAUAGUGGACGUUACUCGCAGAAUAAGCACCGGCUAACUCUGUGCCAGCAGCCGCGGUAAUACAGAGGGUGCAAGCGUUAAUCGGAUUUACUGGGCGUAAAGCGCGCGUAGGCGGCUAAUUAAGUCAAAUGUGAAAUCCCCGAGCUUAACUUGGGAAUUGCAUUCGAUACUGGUUAGCUAGAGUGUGGGAGAGGAUGGUAGAAUUCCAGGUGUAGCGGUGAAAUGCGUAGAGAUCUGGAGGAAUACCGAUGGCGAAGGCAGCCAUCUGGCCUAACACUGACGCUGAGGUGCGAAAGCAUGGGGAGCAAACAGGAUUAGAUACCCUGGUAGUCCAUGCCGUAAACGAUGUCUACUAGCCGUUGGGGCCUUUGAGGCUUUAGUGGCGCAGCUAACGCGAUAAGUAGACCGCCUGGGGAGUACGGUCGCAAGACUAAAACUCAAAUGAAUUGACGGGGGCCCGCACAAGCGGUGGAGCAUGUGGUUUAAUU